GACAGAGGGGGCAAGCGUUGCUCGGAAUCACUGGGCGUAAAGGGCGCGUAGGCGGGAUGGCAAGUCAGUCGUGAAAUCUCUCGGCUCAACCGAGAAACGUCGGCUGAUACUGCCGUUCUUGAGGGAUGCAGAGGAGACUGGAAUUCCCGGUGUAGCGGUGAAAUGUGUAGAGAUCGGGAGGAACACCGGUGGCGAAGGCGGGUCUCUGGGCAUUUCCUGACGCUGAGGCGCGAAAGGGUGGGGAGCAAACGGG
rnacentral:rRNA from 1 species